GAUGAACGCUGACAGAAUGCUUAACACAUCAGCAAUUGAUUGGUGGCGGACGGGUGAGUAACGCGUAAAGAACUUGCCUCACAGGUAGGGACAACAUUUGGAAACGAAUGCUAAUACAUAAUACUGUGAGAGAGCUUUGCGUCCCAUUAGCUAGUUGGAGAGGUAACGGCUCACCAAGGCGAUGAUGGGUAGACGGCCUGUAAGGGUGAUCGGCCACAAGGGGACUGCGACACGGCCGUUACUCCUACGGGAGGCAACAGUGGCGAACAAUGGACAAUGGACCAAACUCUGAGCCAGUAAUUCUGUGUGCACGAUCAAGAUUUCGGAAUGUAAAGUGCUUUCAGUUGGGAAGCGGUACCAACAGAAGAUGCGACGGCUAAAUACGUGCCAGCAGCCGCGGUAAUAC
rnacentral:rRNA from 1 species